rnacentral:rRNA from 1 species
GGACUACCGGGGUAUCUAAUCCCGUUUGCUCCCCUGGCCUUCGUGCCUCAGUGUCAGUAACUGUCCAGAGAUUCGCCUUCGCCACUGGUCUUCCUUACGAUAUCUACGCAUUUCACUGCUACACCGUAAAUUCCAAUCUCCUCUCCAGUACUCGAGCACCGCAGUAUCAAGUGCAGUUUCGGGGUUGAGCCCCGAGAUUUCACACCUGACUUACGGCGCCACCUACGCACCCUUUACGCCCAAUGAAUCCGAACAACGCUUGAGACCUCUGUAUUACCGCGGCUGCUGGCAC